rnacentral:rRNA from 1 species
GACGGAGGAGGCAAGCGUUAUCCGGAAUUAUUGGGCGUAAAGGGUACGUAGGCGGCUGGUCAAGUCUGGGGUCAAAGGCCACAGCUCAACUGUGGGAAGGCCCUGGAAACUGACCGGCUAGAGUGAGGUAGGGGUUGCGGGAAUUCCCGGUGUAGCGGUGAAAUGCGUAGAGAUCGGGAAGAACACCUGAGGCGGAAGCGCGCAACUGGGCCUCAACUGACGCUGAGGUACGAAAGCUAGGGGAGCGAAUGGG